rnacentral:rRNA from 1 species
UUAAAUUGAAGAGUUUGAUCAUGGCUCAGAUUGAACGCUGGCGGCAGGCCUAACACAUGCAAGUCGAACGGUAACAGGAAGCAGCUUGCUGCUUCGCUGACGAGUGGCGGACGGGUGAGUAAUGUCUGGGAAACUGCCUGAUGGAGGGGGAUAACUACUGGAAACGGUGGCUAAUACCGCAUAACGUCGCAAGACCAAAGAGGGGGACCUUCGGGCCUCUUGCCAUCAGAUGUGCCCAGAUGGGAUUAGCUUGUUGGUGAGGUAACGGCUCACCAAGGCGACGAUCCCUAGCUGGUCUGAGAGGAUGACCAGCCACACUGGAACUGAGACACGGUCCAGACUCCUACGGGAGGCAGCAGUGGGGAAUAUUGCACAAUGGGCGCAAGCCUGAUGCAGCCAUGCCGCGUGUAUGAAGAAGGCCUUCGGGUUGUAAAGUACUUUCAGCGGGGAGGAAGGUGUUGUGGUUAAUAACCACAGCAAUUGACGUUACCCGCAGAAGAAGCACCGGCUAACUCCGUGCCAGCAGCCGCGGUAAUACGGAGGGUGCAAGCGUUAAUCGGAAUUACUGGGCGUAAAGCGCACGCAGGCGGUCUGUCAAGUCGGAUGUGAAAUCCCCGGGCUCAACCUGGGAACUGCAUUCGAAACUGGCAGGCUUGAGUCUUGUAGAGGGGGGUAGAAUUCCAGGUGUAGCGGUGAAAUGCGUAGAGAUCUGGAGGAAUACCGGUGGCGAAGGCGGCCCCCUGGACAAAGACUGACGCUCAGGUGCGAAAGCGUGGGGAGCAAACAGGAUUAGAUACCCUGGUAGUCCACGCCGUAAACGAUGUCUACUUGGAGGUUGUGCCCUUGAGGCGUGGCUUCCGGAGCUAACGCGUUAAGUAGACCGCCUGGGGAGUACGGCCGCAAGGUUAAAACUCAAAUGAAUUGACGGGGGCCCGCACAAGCGGUGGAGCAUGUGGUUUAAUUCGAUGCAACGCGAAGAACCUUACCUGGUCUUGACAUCCACGGAAGUUUUCAGAGAUGAGAAUGUGCCUUCGGGAACCGUGAGACAGGUGCUGCAUGGCUGUCGUCAGCUCGUGUUGUGAAAUGUUGGGUUAAGUCCCGCAACGAGCGCAACCCUUAUCCUUUGUUGCCAGCGAUUAGGUCGGGAACUCAAAGGAGACUGCCAGUGAUAAACUGGAGGAAGGUGGGGAUGACGUCAAGUCAUCAUGGCCCUUACGACCAGGGCUACACACGUGCUACAAUGGCGCAUACAAAGAGAAGCGACCUCGCGAGAGCAAGCGGACCUCAUAAAGUGCGUCGUAGUCCGGAUUGGAGUCUGCAACUCGACUCCAUGAAGUCGGAAUCGCUAGUAAUCGUGGAUCAGAAUGCCACGGUGAAUACGUUCCCGGGCCUUGUACACACCGCCCGUCACACCAUGGGAGUGGGUUGCAAAAGAAGUAGGUAGCUUAACCUUCGGGAGGGCGCUUACCACUUUGUGAUUCAUGACUGGGGUGAAGUCGUAACAAGGUAACCGUAGGGGAACCUGCGGUUGGAUCACCUCCUUACCU